UGCCUUACACAUGCAAGUCGAGCGGCAGCGCGGGGGCAACCCUGGCGGCGAGCGGCGAACGGGUGAGUAAUACAUCGGAACGUGUCCAGUUGUGGGGGAUAGCUCGGCGAAAGCCGGAUUAAUACCGCAUACGAUCUACGGAUGAAAGCGGGGGACCGCAAGGCCUCGCGCUAUUGGAGCGGCCGAUGUUGGAUUAGCUAGUUGGCGGGGUAAAAGCCCACCAAGGCGACGAUCCGUAGCUGGUCUGAGAGGAUGAUCAGCCACACUGGAACUGAGACACGGUCCAGACUCCUACGGGAGGCAGCAGUGGGGAAUUUUGGACAAUGGGCGCAAGCCUGAUCCAGCCAUGCCGCGUGAGUGAAGAAGGCCUUCGGGUUGCAAAGCUC
rnacentral:rRNA from 1 species